rnacentral:rRNA from 1 species
AACGAACGCUGGCGGCAGGCUUAACACAUGCAAGUCGAGGGGUAUAGUUUUUCGGAACUAGAGACCGGCGCACGGGUGCGUAACGCGUAUGCAAUCUACCUUUUGCAGAGGGAUAGCCCAGAGAAAUUUGGAUUAAUACCUCAUAGUAUAGCGACAUCGCAUGAUGAUGCUAUUAAAGUCACAACGGCAAAAGAUGAGCAUGCGUCCCAUUAGCUAGUUGGUAAGGUAACGGCUUACCAAGGCAACGAUGGGUAGGGGUCCUGAGAGGGAGAUCCCCCACACUGGUACUGAGACACGGACCAGACUCCUACGGGAGGCAGCAGUGAGGAAUAUUGGACAAGUGGGCGCAAGCCUGAUCCAGCCAUGCCGCGUGCAGGAUGACGGUCCUAUGGAUUGUAAACUGCUUUUAUGCGAGAAGAAACACUCCAAACGUGUUGGAGCUUGACGGUAUCGUAAAGAAUAAGGAUCGGCUAACUCCGUGCC